CGUCUAUAUACGUAUAGCAUAUCAAUAAGCGGAGGAAAAGAAACUAACUAGGAUUCCCUCAGUAACGGCGAGUGAAGCGGGAAGAGCUCAAAUUUGAAAUCUUCAAGGUUCUACCUUGACGGAUUGUAGUUUAAAGAAGUGUUUUCUGUUGGAGUUUUGGUAAAAGUUCUUUGGAAUAGGACAUCAUAGAGGGUGAGAAUCCCGUAUUUGACCAUUAUUUCCAACUUUGUGAUACACUUUCAAAGAGUCGGAUUGUUUGGGAAUGCAGUCCAAAAUGGGUGGUAAAUUUCAUCUAAAGCUAAAUACUGGCGAGAGACCGAUAGCGAACAAGUACCGUGAGGGAAAGAUGAAAAGAACUUUGAAAAGAGAGUUAAACAGUACGUGAAAUUGUCAAAAGGGAAGCGUUUGACACCAGUGUUGUUUUCUCGAAAAUCAAUUAAAAAUAGCGGGAUUUUGUGUUGUAUUGACUUUAUCAGCUUUCUGCACUUUUUUCUUGUCUUUUUUAAUGCACUUUUCGUUUAACAAGUCAACAUCAAUUUCUUUUGUUGUAAAAGGGUCAUUGGAAGGUGGCUUUCUUUUCGGAGAAAGUGUUUAUAGCCUUUGGCCUCUGCAAUCGGAGAGAUUGAGGUCUGCAGCGUAGAUCCUUCGGGGUUAGAUACAUUUGUGCUAAGUUAUAGCCUUUCAUAGACAACUUGUUGACUAUGAUCAGUCAUGUAGCUUACUCGCUUAUGUCAUUUUACCUACGCUUAGGAUGUUGACGAUCAGCUGAGCGCG
rnacentral:rRNA from 1 species